rnacentral:rRNA from 1 species
UUGCUUCUCUGGAUGAGUUGCGAACGGGUGAGUAACGCGUAGGUAACCUGCCUGGUAGCGGGGGAUAACUAUUGGAAACGAUAGCUAAUACCGCAUAACAGUAGAUGUUGCAUGACAUUUGCUUAAAAGGUGCAAUUGCAUCACUACCAGAUGGACCUGCGUUGUAUUAGCUAGCUGGUGGGGUAACGGCUCACCAAGGCGACGAUACAUAGCCGACCUGAGAGGGUGAUCGGCCACACUGGGACUGAGACACGGCCCAGACUCCUACGGGAGGCAGCAGUAGGGAAUCUUCGGCAAUGGACGGAAGUCUGACCGAGCAACGCCGCGUGAGUGAAGAAGGUUUUCGGAUCGUAAAGCUCUGUUGUAAGAGAAGAACGAGUGUGAGAGUGGAAAGUUCACACUGUGACGGUAUCUUACCAGAAAGGGACGGCUAACUACGUGCCAGCAGCCGCGGUAAUACGUAGGUCCCGAGCGUUGUCCGGAUUUAUUGGGCGUAAAGCGAGCGCAGGCGGUUAGAUAAGUCUGAAGUUAAAGGCUGUGGCUUAACCAUAGUACGCUUUGGAAACUGUUUAACUUGAGUGCAAGAGGGGAGAGUGGAAUUCCAUGUGUAGCGGUGAAAUGCGUAGAUAUAUGGAGGAACACCGGUGGCGAAAGCGGCUCUCUGG